GCCUGAUCAGCCAUGCCGCGUGAGUGAAGAAGGCCUUCGGGUUGUAAAGCUCUUUUGUCAGGGAAGAAACGGCCUGUUCUAAUACAGUGGGCUAAUGACGGUACCUGAAGAAUAAGCACCGGCUAACUACGUGCCAGCAGCCGCGGUAAUACGUAGGGUGCAAGCGUUAAUCGGAAUUACUGGGCGUAAAGCGUGCGCAGGCGGUUUUGUAAGACUGUCGUGAAAUCCCCGGGCUCAACCUGGGAAUGGCGAUGGUGACUGCAAGGCUAGAGUUUGGCAGAGGGGGGUAGAAUUCCACGUGUAGCAGUGAAAUGCGUAGAUAUGUGGAGGAACACCGAUGGCGAAGGCGGCCCCCUGGGUCAAAACUGACGCUCAUGCACGAAAGCGUGGGGAGCAAACAGGAUUAGAUACCCUGGUAGUCCACGCCCUAAACGAUGUCUACUAGUUGUCGGGUCUUAAUUGACUUGGCAACGCAGCUAACGCGUGAAGUAGACCGGCCGGGGAGUACGGUCGCAAGAUUAAAACUCAGAGGAAUUGACGGGGACCGCACAAGCGGUGAUGAUGU
rnacentral:rRNA from 1 species